UUGAAGGAUUUGAAGACUUCAACUUGCAUACUUGGAGGAUUUGAAGACUUCUAGUUACAUACAUCAAGAAUUUGAAGACUUCAACU
rnacentral:pre_miRNA from 1 species